rnacentral:rRNA from 1 species
CCUACGGGCGACAGCAGUGAGGAAUAUUGGUCAAUGGGCGCGAGCCUGAACCAGCCAAGUAGCGUGAAGGAUGACUGCCCUACGGGUUGUAAACUUCUUUUGUAAAGGAAUAAAGUGAGGCACGUGUGCCUGGUUGAGUGUACUUUAUGAAUAAGGAUCGGCUAACUCCGUGCCAGCAGCCGCGGUAAUACGGAGGAUCCGAGCGUUAUCCGGAUUUAUUGGGUUUAAAGGGAGCGUAGAUGGGUUGUUAAGUCAGUUGUGAAAGUUCGCGGCUCAACCGCAAAAUUGCCAUUGAUACUGGCAGUCUUGAGUAGAGUUGAGGUAUGCGGAAUUCGUGGUGUAGCGGUGAAAUGCUUAGAUAUCACGAAGAACUCCGAUUGCGAAGGCAGCUUACUAAACUGCCACUGACAUUGAUGCUCGAAAGUGUGGGUAUCAAACAGGAUUAGAUACCCUUGUAGUC